ACCCCAAUCUCAUACACAGUUACACACAUUAGAGAGGAUAGAGAGAGAGAGAGAGAGAGAGACCGAUGAAAGGAAGAGGAAACUGGCCACCCAAAUCCGAUUGGGGGGGGGGGGGCGUACGCUAUCCCUACUCGCUACUGGAGGACGAGGGUUCCAUUAGUGAUGUCGUUUCGGCGACGGUUGUUCUGUUCCCAUGGUUCAGGUGGUGCACGACGUCGGUCGACGGCGGCGGCUGAAACUGGAACUAGGGUUCCGGUGGUUUCCAUGUGCAGAUCUGAAUGGGUAACAACACUGGCACGCUGAACUCAUUGCUACUUUUGCCAUUGGUCAGAGGAACCAAGAUAUUGUUCAUGCUUUUGAAAGGAAUCUUCUUCAAGUCACAGAUGGUGGUUGUACGUCUUUGUUUAGAGUUUGUAAAGUGUGUUGGUUGUUACGCGUCUCACAUAGCGUGGCGAUUGGAUUGCGCUUUAUUUGGUCUUCCUUUUCCACAAAUGGUUAUUUGCGUUUUCCACUGAAUCUAAUCUAUGUUAACCGAGCGAGUCUGAUUGUGAUAGGUGUGGUUGGCAACAACUAUCCAAAUUUAGGACGGCGCUACUUCAUGGCAACCACUAGAUACCUCCGAUUUUACUCAAUCCGCACCUACUUCUAGCCACAAUCCCUUAGAUUUCUAAUUUUACCAUACACUAAUAGGAAUUCUUUUGUUCCCUUCAAACUUGAACAAUUUUACAUUUAUGGGGUAUAAUUUACAUUGAUUUUGCUGGAUUAUAGGUGAUUUCUAACUCUUGCAUAAUAAUAGUCAGGUCCUUAAGAUGCUCCAAUUCAGUAUUGCAUACGACUUCCAUAGAACGAUUCAAUUCAAUGGGAACUGAAGAUUGAUGAUGGUACCUUCUUCAUCGCCUCAGAACUCAUCAACUCGACGAAGAUCCUCAUUGUCGCCUUAGAAUACCCAUUAUCUCAAUAGGGCGAUGUACUUCCUAUUUGUAAAUGAUGUUACCGUAUGUGAUGUGCGAUUAAAGGAAACCUAGAUUUUUUUCCAACAUUAUGCUAGGCGAUUUCUCAUUGUCAACAUAAACAAUCCCAUGACGCUCAUAGAUAAUUAUGAUAGUUUCACUUAUAACCUUAGCCAGGUUUCCCAUUCUUUACCUAUGUCAAAAGUUAGUAGAUACAAGUACAAGAAACAUGAAUUACGGAAGGUUUUUUUUUUAUUUUUUAUA